GGCGCUGGGCAGGGGCGCGCACGGCGAGGCGCACGGCGCCGGGGCGCCUCUGGGCCCUUCCCCGGGCUCCCGCGGAGGGUGGCUGUGCGGCCGCUCACCUGCGUCCCCGCCUCUCCGGCUGCUGCGCGCCGGCACCGGGCCGCUUUCAUCCUCUUCUGCGGGGCCUGGCUUAGCGCCUUCAAGAAACGGGUAGAACUAGCCGGAGCCAUCGGUGUAGAAACACUGUCGUCAGAAGCAGAGGAGAGCAAGGAUUAAAGUACCCACAGUUGAAGCAGCUGCAUGGAGCUUGGAAGAGCAACCAGUUGGAACCAAGCCGAGAAAGCAGUGGACCCCGCAUCUACAGGGAAGGCCAGGUCGCGAAGGCCAGUGUCCACACCGCCACAGGGGGGUGCUCCCAGGACAGUGGAGAGGUCAGGGGCUCAGCACCUCUGCAGGCUGGAUAGUGGCAAGGAUGCAGUGUGCCCUCCCUGGACCCCUCUGAUUCUUCCCAUCCGGUUAAGGAAAGACUGAUGACAGGGCCCCGGGGACAAGCCGUUUCCAUGGUUCCCAGACUUCUGGAUUCCAGACGCCAAUGACAGCUCAAAAAAAAAAAUUUUUUUUUGGGUGACCUACAUAGAUUUGUCAACCAUUUAUGUGGCCAAGUGAGAGGGAAAAGCAAAACAAAACCUGCCAUCUCCCAUCAGAAUCAUUUUAUUACAGAAAACUUUUUUCACCCAAAUACAGAAAGGACAUUACCUCAGCUAAAGACAAUGUUUUGCAUGGAAUAUUCUUAGCUGGGUGGACAUCUCCCGGGUUUGGCCGUAUUACUGUCGUGUGGGUGUGACCAUCUCUGUGGGCAAACUAGUGCCCAGCUUGGAAUUUCGGACCCAAGAUCCAGCUGCACGUGGCCAGCCCUGCCCCCGUCACACCCGCUUGGGGCUGGGCAACCUGUGCUCACAUGGCCCAGCUCAUCGCCCACUGCCUGUCACCCACGCCCAGCUCUGCUCCCGCUGUGGCCUCCCCUGGGCCAGCCUGGCUGCCUGGUCUCCUUGCCUGAGUCGGCAGAAGCAUCAGCCUCAUUCUCCUUAAAGCAUCUGUGCCCCUUGAUUAAUGUGCCUUUCAAAUGAUUACUAAGUCAGCAUUAUUUUAGCCUCCACAGUUGUCACUGGGCCAGUCCUGAGCCCAGAGAUAUCACUUGAGCCCUUCCAUUCUCCAGGGAGCAGAAAAAAGAAGGUCCUGCGUUUCCUGGGAGGAAACUUAGUAGGAUUGUGCUGUUUCUACCAUCUUUCCCAAAGAAAAUGUGAAAUAAAGACUUCCACCCUAUAUAGAAGCACCUCCUAGUCUCAGACCACAAGCGUUUUCCAUGUGUUAAUCAUCUCAUGCAGCGGUGGAGGCUUUUAGACACCCAGAUAUUCAAGCUUUCUGAAGAGCUACCCAAUGCAUUCGAUGACUAAAUGGAAGUUAUAUUAGUUUUCUAUAGACUGGGAAAGAUUUUUUUUUUAAUUUGAGUCCAAUAUCCUUUACCUUCCUUUAAAGGCUUUCAAUUUGUAUGUGAAUGUUUCAUAGGACCUCUGAUGAUUAGAAUAUUGAUAACCAUAAUUGGGCAAAUACUUAAGACAUAUUCAUUCAUUCAACAAAUGUUCUUAAAGCACCUACUACGUGCCAACCACAGCACUGGCUUUGGAGAUACAAUAAUGAAAACCCAUUCUUUUCCUCAAGGGCUUAGGAAUUUUAGUCCGGGGAACAGACAUGUCAACAUAAAGAGAAGUGCUCAGGGCUUUCCUGGUUCCCUGGGCAGGUCCAGAGCAGCGUAAGGGAGCGGGCAUCACCAGUUCCACCUGAGUGAUGGGGAGCAGCUUCCCAGGGGCAGCAGACACUGGGGUGGGGGGGUUGCGGAUGGUGAGGGCCGUGGGGGCCACCCGAGGAGUCUGGGCAUCCUCAGGGAAGGAGGGCAGGGAGGCUGUGCUGCUUACUGGUCUCCCAGCUCAGAGCCAUCUUCUCAGCUCUGCAUUUUGACGCGGGGCUAAGACUAUGCAGGUCCCUUUGCCAGCUGGCUCCCUGCUAGGCUCCACCAGCGAGAGGCCUGGAGGAGCUGGGCAGCUGGAGGAGGGAGCAGGGCCUGCUCGCCUACUGGUCUUGACAGCACUGCACCCUGAACCAGCCUGCCCGCACCUGGCAGAGGUGGCAGCUCCCACAGGCAGCAGUCUUGCCCCCAGCGCCUCUUGGCCGCAGCCCCUGGCACCCCUCCCUCCCAGCAGGUUCUGGCAACCCCAGCUCUGAGGCUGGGAGCUGCUUCCUGCCUUACUAUCUCUGCGGCCUCAGUUCUCUUUUUUUGCCUUUUUACCUGCUUAUCCAAUUUCUUUUAUUCAGUUCUCUCUGUUGAAAUACCCAGUGUUGUUUCUGUUGUCCUGACCGACCAUGAUUGAUGUCAUGCUGGGAGUGAUGGUCCAAGAAAGCAGACUCACAGGUCAGGCCACGGGACUGAUGUGGGCAGGGCAGGCCUUGAAUGCAGUGCCAGGCUCCUUGCUGAUGAGAAGCGGCCCAUGGUGGCCGCGCAUCACUAUCAGUCAGAUGAUCACCCGUGGUUCGUUGUGAUGAAGCAUUGACUGGCCUGUCUCAAGGACCAAGAGGCUGUGGCCCUUGACCAUUAGGGCAGCAACGAACAUUCCUGGGUGGUAGCUGGGGGGGCCUGCAGCUGUGUUUAAGAAGGAAGCCAGCAUGUGAGGGCACGCCUACAGGAGUGGAGAUUCGGACUCUCCUGCAAACUAAACUCAGUAACUUCUUGGUUUGAAUAUGUGUGAGAAAGCUCAUUCUGAAAUGCCCUUAUUCACGUGUUAAAGUAAAUAACUUUUGGAGCAUGCCGAGAACUGAACAAGAUACCCCAGACGACCCGCCAGAGCACAGUUGGACGCUAACCUAAGCAGCUUUAAGUAUCAGGGAAUCAUAACACCUGCUCCUCAGUCCAGGCACCUGCUCCACACUCGCAGUUACUCUCUGAGAGCAAAACGGAGGGGUUUACUUUGACCCCAGUCACAUUUCCCUUUGCCAAGCCGUCCACAAAAGUCCCUGAGGCCUUAUUCUGUUAUCUACUGUGAGUUACCUCUUUGGUUU